GCCAGACACGGUGGGACGCCUAUAGUCCCAGCUACUCGGGAGGCUGAGAUGGGAGGAUCGCAUGAGUCCAGGAGUUCUGAGCUGUACUGCCCUAUGCUGAUCAGUGUCCGUGCUAAGUUCAGCAUCAAUACGGUGACCUCCCAAGAGUAGGGGACCACCAGGUUGCCUAAAGAGGGGUGAACUGGCCCAGGUCGGAAACAGAGCAGGUCAAAACUCCUGUGCUAAUCAGUAGCGGGAUCACAGCUGUGAACAGCCACUGCACUCCAGCCUAGGCAACACAGCAAGACCCCAUCUCUU
rfam:Otolemur garnettii contig123181, whole genome shotgun sequence.